UUUCCUGCAAACAAGUUUGCAGGAAAUGCUGCAUAUAAGGCAAGGUGUCAAUUCGUGAGAGUGACAAGUGUCCUAGGUCAUGUGCAAUGCACAUGACCAGUUAACUCAAAUUUGAUGACUAACGGUGUUAGAAUUUUGCUUUAGAACCGUUUGCUCUCUCUCUCUCUCUCUAAAUUAGACAUUCUCUAUCUUCGUCCAAGAUCUCUCUCUCAUCCUUUGUGCUCAGCCUAGCCACAUCCACUCAUUCCCUCUCCAUUGGCCUCACUCCGCCGCGUUUCCACCUCUUUUUGCCGCCAAGAACCACUGCUUCAGCACAUUCUUUCGCAGAAAUCUCUUUGGUGAAGACGAGUACGACAACUCAGAAUUUUUCAAGAUGUGUCAAGCCAAUACCAGAUAAGUAGUACCGAUUUUGUGGCACUCCACUUUACAAUGAAAUAUUUAGAAAGGUUAAAGAGUGCCUUCAUGAAUUUUUUGGAACAAUAUUUUUUUGGGAUCCAAUUGAGCAGUCAACUUCUGAAUUGAAUUGGUAGUGACGACAAUGGAAGGGCUGCCACAGUUGCGCCACUUGAGAUCAUCACAGCAUUUGGUCUUGAAACAUACACUUUUUCCCUACCUUUUUUGCUAGAAUUAUGUAUUUUGGUGCUAGAACCUUGAAACAUAUACUUGUAUCGAAGUCUAUAUUUCAAUAGAACCCUUGUUAUUGUGGUUUUGUAAUCAAAGCAUAUAUUUCAAUAGAAUUUGUACAUUUUUAGAUUAAAA